GACGGCGUGCCUUUUGCAUAAUGAACCUACGAGUUGCCGUCACCGGCGAGGUUAAGUACUAUGAAGUACGAAUCCGGAGCGAGAGCGAGUCUUAACAGGGCGUAAGAGUCAGUGGCGGCAGACGCGAAACCGAGUGAUCUACCCUUGUCCAGGUUGAAGUCCGGGUAACGCCGGAUGGAGGACCGCACCAAUAAGCGUUGAAAAGCUUCUGGAUGAGGUGAGGGUAGGAGUGAAAGGCCAAUCAAACUCGGAGAUAGCUCGUACUCCCCGAAAUGCAUUUAGGUGCAGCCUCAAGAGUUUUCUGCGUGAGGUAGAGCGACUGAUCGGAUGCGAGGGCUUCGCCGCCUAUCAAGUCCGGACAAACUCCGAAUGC
rnacentral:rRNA from 1 species